GUAGAUUGGGGGUGAUUUUCUAGUUUUAGGACUUGGCCACAGUCUGGGCUGAACCCCAGAAGGGGUUUAGGGACUAGGGCUCCUCUUUGGAAACUUCGAACCGACCCCGUCUAGCCACGCCCCUUGUGCUCCUUGCCACCGGAUUUAUAAAUGACCCCACCUAUUUCUUAGGAAGGCCAAAAGUGCAGUUUGACAGUCCAGAAUGGGAGAGGACUCCAGGCUCAGCCAAGGAGCUCCGGAGACCUCCGCCCAGAAGCCCCCAGCCUGCGGAGCGUGUGGACCCAGCCCUGCCCCUGGAGAAACAGCCGUGGUUUCAUGGCCCCCUGAACAGGGCGGAUGCAGAGAGCCUCCUGUCCCUCUGCAAGGAAGGCAGCUACCU
rnacentral:sRNA from 1 species